rnacentral:rRNA from 1 species
UACGAAGGGGGCUAGCGUUGUUCGGAAUUACUGGGCGUAAAGCGUAUGCAGGCGGAUCGUUAAGUCGGGGGUGAAAUCCCAAGGCUCAACCUCGGAACUGCCUUCGAUACUGGCGAUCUUCGAGUCCGGGAGAGGUGAGUGGAACUCCGAGUGUAGAGGUGAAAUUCGUAGAUAUUCGGAAGAACACCAGUGGCGAAGGCGGCUCACUGGCCCGGUACUGACGCUGAGAUACGAAAGCGUGGGGAGCAAACAGG